rnacentral:lncRNA from 1 species
GGAUUUAAAAACUUCUUUAAAAUGGCUCCUUAUACGGGGUUCGGCAAAUCCUCAACAAAUCGAAACCGUUCUCAUUUCCUGGACGAACAUAGAGAUUUAGCUCGCGGGAGAUUGAAUAGUUGAACCCAGCCAGGAAGAUAACCUGAGAGUCCAGCUGUAAAAGCUGCCUAAGUACCACCACCAUUGACACAAAAAUGCCGACUUUCACACCUUCCUCUCGACAUACACACUCUACAAGGAGACUGCCCACUACUAGGAGACUACAGAGGAUCUGCCAGCACAGGUGUAAGAAGCAGAUUGUAUCAAUAUGAAGAGGAGCGUGCACAGAGAGAGACGGUGCAAAACGCAGAGCUUGCAGGCAUCAGGGGCGAAUUGGCAGGCAUCAGUCCUACCCUGUUGCAGCUGCAUAACACAAUAAGGGAAUAUGUGGAUAGGAAUUAAGAUUUUGUUAGUGUUUUGUUAGUGUUCAUUAAUUGUGUUUAAUAUUUCUUUGUUAUUAAUUUGUAAUGUUUAAACAGGGUAAUAGUAAAUAAAACUUUAAGUAUAUAA